CUGGUACUGAACUAAACCACUCAGCACAUGCCUCCUAUCAGCUACUAUUCUGAGGGACACUGAUGGUGGUCUCGGCAGAAGAGGAGGGCUGUUGUGGCUCCCACUGCUGGAAGCACCUGGCACUGGCCACUGUCAGAAGACAGGAUACUGGGCUAGAUGGACUACUGGUAUAACCUAGUAUGGCUGUUCUUCUGUUCAUCCAAGGAUCUCAACAAACUUCAUAUAAAAGAAUCUACGAUUCACAAGCCCCCUAUAAGAUUUGCCAAGCGAUUGCUGUCACUUGGAUAUGACUCUCCUUCUUAUCCUUGGGCUGACGUGACCUCCCUAACCAUGGAGCCCCAACCAUGUGAUGGGCACACAGAUGGGCUUCUACAUCCUGAGUGCAGACUGGCAACUCAGAUUUUCCAUGAUACUAUACAGCCAAGGUAAGAGAGGCUUUCUUGAGCCUGGAGGGAAAGUGUCAAACGCUAUAUUGCCACUGAUAUCCAUUGUGCACUCACCCUCGCUAGCAGUCACUUGGUUUAGCUUACCUCCUCUCCUGUCAGCAAAUAUGCUUAGUUAAUUUAGGGCCAUACUUUCAAGAAUCUCAAACUCA